CUCUGGGUCCAACCUCCCAUCCGUGUCUAUCUGUACCCUGUUGCUUCGGCGUGGCCACGGCCCGCCGGAGACUAACAUUUGAACGCUGUCUGAAGUUUGCAGUCUGAGUUUUUAGUUAAACAAUCGUUAAAACUUUCAACAACGGAUCUCUUGGUUCCGGCAUCGAUGAAGAACGCAGCGAAAUGCGAUAAUUAAUGUGAAUUGCAGAAUUCAGUGAAUCAUCGAGUCUUUGAACGCACAUUGCGCCCCCUGGUAUUCCGGGGGGCAUGCCUGUCCGAGCGUCAUUGCUGCCCUCAAGCACGGCUUGUGUGUUGGGCUUCCGUCCCUGGCAACGGGGACGGGCCCAAAAGGCAGUGGCGGCACCAUGUCUGGUCCUCGAGCGUAUGGGGCUUUGUCACCCGCUCCCGUAGGUCCAGCUGGCAGCUAGCCUCGCAACCAAUCUUUUUAACCAGGUUGACCUCGGAUCAGGUAGGGAUACCCGCUGAACUUAAGCAUAUCAAAA
rnacentral:rRNA from 1 species